rnacentral:piRNA from 1 species
UCACUGGGACUGGUUAGACAGUGGGUGCAA